UAGAUAUUCAAUGCUGGAAGGCUUGGAUAUCGAAAGCGCAAGCGCCAGAGGGUGAGUCUGCGGCCUAUCAGGUAGUAGGUGGUGUAACGGACCACCUAGCCUAAGACGGGUACGGGCCUUGAGAGAGGGAGCCCGGAGAUGGGUUCUGAGACACGAACCCAGGCCCUACGGGGCGCAGCAGGCGCGAAACCUUCGCACUGCGCGAAAGCGCGACGAGGGGAGCCCGAGUGCCUCUCCAUUUCGGGGAGGCUUUUCACAAGCCUAAAAAGCUUGUGGAAUAAGGGCUGGGCAAGACGGGUGCCAGCCGCCGCGGUAAUACCCGCAGCUCGAGUGGUGGUCGCUUUUAUUGAGCCUAAAACGUUCGUAGUCGGCCUUGUAAAUCCCUGGGUAAAUCGGACCGCUUAACGGUUCGAAUUCCGGGGAGACUGCAAGGCUAGGGACCGGGCGAGGUCAGAGGUACUUUCGGGGUAGGAGUGAAAUCCUGUAAUCCCGAAGGGACCACCUGUGGCGAAAGCGUCUGACUUGAACGGCUCCGACGAUGAGGAACGAAGGCUAGGGGAGCAAACCGGAUUAGAUACCCGGGUAGUCCUAGCUGUAAACUCUGCCCGCUUGGUGUGGCCUGUCCUUCGGGGGCAGGCUGUGCCGGAGCGAAGGUGUUAAGCGGGCUGCUUGGGGAGUACGGCCGCAAGGUUGAAACUUAAAGGAAUUGGCGGGGGAGCACCGCAACGGGAGGAUGCGUGCGGUUUAAUGGAUCAACGC
rnacentral:rRNA from 1 species